rnacentral:tRNA from 1 species
GGCCCAUUAGCCCAGUUGGUUAAGGCGUGGUGCUGAUAACGCCGAAGUCAGCAGUUCGAUCCUGCUAUGGGCCACCA